rnacentral:rRNA from 1 species
GAUCCUGGCUCAGGACGAACGCUGGCGGCGUGCCUAACACAUGCAAGUCGAACGGAGAUACAGGGGCUUGCCCCUGUAUCUUAGUGGCGGACGGGCGAGUAACGCGUGAGGAACCUGCCCUUCAGUGGGGAAUAACGGCUGGAAACGGUCGCUAAUACCGUAUGACACAUUGGUACCGCAUGAUACUGAUGUCAAAGGAGCAAUCCGCUGAAGGAUGGCCUUGCGUCCGAUUAGCUAGUUGGG